rnacentral:rRNA from 1 species
UCGAACGAUGAAGGAGGAGCUUGCUCCUCCGGAUUAGUGGCGAACGGGUGAGUAAUACGUGAGCAAUGUGCCCUUGACUCUGGGAUAAGCGCUGGAAACGGCGUCUAAUACCGGAUACGACCCUCGGAGGCAUCUCCUGAUGGUGGAAAGAACUUCGGUCAAGGAUCAGCUCACGGCCUAUCAGCUAGUUGGUGAGGUAACGGCUCACCAAGGCGACGACGGGUAGCCGGCCUGAGAGGGUGACCGGCCACACUGGGACUGAGACACGGCCCAGACUCCUACGGGAGGCAGCAGUGGGGAAUAUUGCACAAUGGGCGCAAGCCUGAUGCAGCAACGCCGCGUGAGGGACGAAGGCCUUCGGGUUGUAAACCUCUUUUAGCAGGGAAGAAGCGAAAGUGACGGUACCUGCAGAAAAAGCACCGGCUAACUACGUGCCAGCAGCCGCGGUAAUACGUAGGGUGCAAGCGUUGUCCGGAAUUAUUGGGCGUAAAGAGCUCGUAGGCGGUUUGUCGCGUCUGCUGUGAAAACCCGAGGCUCAACCUCGGGCUUGCAGUGGGUACGGGCAGACUAUAGUGCGGUAGGGGAGAUUGGAAUUCCUGGUGUAGCGGUGGAAUGCGCAGAUAUCAGGAGGAACACCGAUGGCGAAGGCAGAUCUCUGGGCCGUAACUGACGCUGAGGAGCGAAAGCAUGGGGAGCAAACAGGCUUAGAUACCCUGGUAGUCCAUGCCGUAAACGUUGGGAACUAGAUGUGGGGACCAUUCCACGGUCUCCGUGUCGUAGCUAACGCAUUAAGUUCCCCGCCUGGGGAGUACGGCCGCAAGGCUAAAAC